rnacentral:tRNA from 1 species
CGAAUGCGUCGUGAACGGCGUCCGCGCCCAGGUUCCGGACCUGGCCGCACACCUCAUCGACGGCCUGCCGCCGUUCGAUCCGGCCCAUCCGCCC